rnacentral:lncRNA from 1 species
GCAGAUGUCUGGAAAAUAUUUCAGCUAAGCAUGGCAAAUAGAGGUAAUUAUGAUAUUGUGUAUGAACAAUGUUUUUCCUUAGAUAAAAUACAUGCUAAUCAAACUUGAAAAGCAAUUUAAAUGAACUAUCUCUCAAAGCAAUUUCAAAUGUACUGAAAGUGACUUGAUUUGCUUGAAAGAGAUUAUAAUUUUCAAAAUGAAGGUGAUUCACUCUUUGGCCAUUUCUUGGCUCCAAGUCUCCUGUAUAUUAGAACACAUUUUUCUUAUGAGAUCUACAGGUUGCUGCUAAAUUUGUAUAUGAUAUCUAUAGCAUCCUCCAGAAUGACCUCUAUCAUGAUUUUUCCACGUCAGCACAAGGAUUAAUAUUACAAGCUCUAAAAUUAGUUUAAUAUAUUUAAGAGGUCUUUGAAAUUAUUAGAAUUUUCAAAAGGAACAGCCUAAAUCCCUACCGUUAAAAAAUUAUAGAUAGCAUUAUAUUUAUAUUCUUAGGUUUUGAAAAAAGUGCAAGCAUCCUUAUUUCCGUUAAAUAUUUUGUAGAUCUCAAAGCUUUUCUCUAAAGUCCUUCUGAAAUUGAAUUUCAUGGUGUUAUUCUAGUUUUCAUCAAUAAAAAGCCUUAACUAGAAUGCCAGGAAUUUAUUUACAUUUUCUGUUUCAUAGUGACCUGAAGCUAUCCGCUGUUGAAGUUUGCUUUUUUUUCCCAGAAAUCAGUGACAACAUAUCAACUAAAGCUUCAAGCUGGAGUCUAAUUUUCAGUCACCUUACAUGUCUUCCCGAUGAGGAUACCUACCCUACAGAUUUCAAAAGGCAAUGGCAAGCAUCAGUGUUUUCAGAUGAAAGCUGGAAGACUCAAACCCUCCUAGAACUGGUGAGAUGGCCCUGUCUCCAGCCAACCAGCCAGCCAAGAGUUAUUUCUCAAACCCACUGUAAAUUGGGGUCAUCUAAAUUCUGCUCCCUAAAACUGAGAUCUCUUUUCAUGGUGGUGUUCCCACAUUUAGGCAGGUGCCUCAAACUCAAUCUGACCUGUUAAAAGUCCAGAGGAGGUAACAUAUUUUGGAAGGAAUAGUAAAAGAGAGUCAAGUUAACUACUUAAUUCUCCAAUCUCUGUACUUCCCUCAAGUCAGAGCAUCAGAACAUGUACUCCCAAAGAGCUACUUCACUUUGCCUUCAUUUCAUGGUAUUUCUAAGAUUUUGUCUAAGCCCCAGUUGCCAUAAUACCAUCGACUAGAUGGGUUAAACAACAAAAGUUUACUUCUCAUGGUUCUGGAGGCUGGAAGUCUGAGAUCAGGGUACCAGUAUGAUCGGGUUCUGGGGAGGACCCUCUUCCCGGCUUGCUAACAUGUGCCUUCUUGCUGUAUCCCUUUAUGGUGAAGAGAGGGAGAUCUGAAGUCUCUUUCCCUUCUCAUAAGGGCAUGAAUCCCAUCAUGGAGGAUCUACCCUCAUGACCUCAUGUAAAAGUAAUUACCUCCCAGAGGCCCCAUCUCCUCAGACAGUUGCUUUGAAGGUUAGUGCUUUAACAUAUGAAUUUUUAUGGAAACACAAAUGUUCAGUCCAUAACAGAUUUAAAGAGUUCUGUUCUUUCAUUUUUUUUUGUAUUUUUUUUUUUUUAAUCUCAGAACAGAAAAAACUGACACUGGAUAGAUGAGAUAGGUUAAAGCUAUGGCUCUUUGUUACUUAAUGCUCCAAAUGAGAAAAAGUUGUCACUCAGGGACAUACAGGAGUGUAUCCAAGGACAGGGCAACAGCAAGCUGGAACUGUAGGAGGCAACUUAUGUAUGGGAUGCUCCCAAACAUGUCUUUCCAUAUAGUAUCUGAUACCAUAACAUUGGGUUAGACAGGAAUAUGGUCACUGUGCUGUCACCUCCAUCCUCAUGUCUUCCUCUCACUAGAUUCUCAGCUCAGUGCAUGCACAUGCCUACAUACUCACAUCUUCUCCUCCUUCUUCUUCUCAGACCCCAGAACUUUUUAUGGAUAUCAAUUCAAGCAUAUAGAUAAUGCCAGAGUUGCCCUAUAUAAAGAACAUUUGUUUUUUCUUACAUUGUGGAUUACUGCAAGUCUUGUAACAACUAGGUUCAGGAUAGUUUAAUUUUAUUCAUUUGGGAAACUAUCACUGUAUAGUUUUCCUUCUCAUGUUCAGCUGUCUCUGACUUAAUAAUAUAGAACAGUGGUGCUCAGUCCUGGCUGCCCAUUUUAAGUCAUCUUGGAUUUUUUUUUUUAAAUGUCUCACUUGAGAUCAGUUGAAUCAGAAUCUCUACAAAUGGAUAUAAAACAUAGGCACUUAAAAAAAUCUCUCUCAGGUGUUUUUAAUAUGCAGUUAGGAUUGAGAACCAACAGUGGUAGAAGAAGCUUUCAAAAUAAUCACUUGCUUUCUAAUUUUAAAUUGUAGUUCUAUCUUAUACUAAUUAUUCUCCUCUCCACCCCUCAUCAAUUCCUUUUAAAAAUAGAAGUAUUCAAAAUAUACUACCCCUUAAUUCUUGCCUAAGAUAGAACAUUUACAUAUCUGGAAAUGGGUUAACCAUUCUGUAAUAUUUAAUGGUUUAUAAACUGAACCAUUAAUUAGAUUUUCAAAUCUCAUCCUCCAAGGUCUUGAAAAUAUGCAAUACUCUCCUGAGGCUAUUUCCAUUAUUAAGUAAAUGUGUUAUAAAUUAGCAAACCAAAAGAAUAUGCAUGGAACUGUAAUUCACAUCUUGUAAAUUUCACACUAAAUCACAAACCUCAUUUUUCUUCAGUAUGUACUGCUAUACUUUUCUUGUCUACCAUCCUGAACUUAUUUAUCUAGAAUUAAAUACUUUGAAAUCCUCCAGAAUUUUAAAAUGUUGGAAAAAACAACAAACAUUUUGCUGUAUUCACAUAAAAAUAAAACUUUUAAAAUUCUUGUUGGAGAUCUAAAA